rnacentral:pre_miRNA from 1 species
AGGAGGAACAGCCCCAGUGGUGGGGCCAGCUCUGGAAACCUGGAUUCAGCUCAGGCAGGAACUCUGGAGCUCUCCGUCUGCAGGGCCUGGAGGCUCCGGGGCGGG